UACGUAGGGGGCUAGCGUUGUCCGGAAUCAUUGGGCGUAAAGCGCGCGUAGGCGGCCCGGUAAGUCCGCUGUAAAAGUCAGGGGCUCAACCCUUGAACGCCGGUGGAUACUGCCGGGCUAGAGUCCGGAAGAGGCGAGUGGAAUUCCUGGUGUAGCGGUGGAAUGCGCAGAUAUCAGGAGGAACACCAAUAGCGAAGGCAGCUCGCUGGGACGGUACUGACGCUAAGGCG
rnacentral:rRNA from 1 species